rnacentral:rRNA from 1 species
UACGAAGGGUGCAAGCGUUACUCGGAAUUACUGGGCGUAAAGCGUGCGUAGGUGGUUGUUUAAGUCUGCUGUGAAAGCCCUGGGCUCAACCUGGGAAUUGCAGUGGAUACUGGGCGACUAGAGUGUGGUAGAGGAUAGUGGAAUUUCCGGUGUAGCAGUGAAAUGCGUAGAGAUCGGAAGAAACAUCUGUGGCGAAGGCGACUAUCUGGGCCAACACUGACACUGAGGCACGAAAGCGUGGGGAGCAAACAGG